GAGCUUGGGUAUAUUUUCAGAAUCCCCUUCAUCUGUGAGGAACAGUUCUGCUGCCAACUUCAUACCACCACCUCUUCCUCCACAGAGGAAAGACUUCUGAGCCUGCUGAGAGCUGCCUCGUUAUGUGGGAUGGUGGCAGGGAUGUAACUACAGAGGAGCCCCUAUGCUCAUCUCCUGGGAGCCCCCACAGCUCUGCAGAAGUGUUCUCAAUCGCUACCGGGAGCGUGACUUGCACAGAUCCUGUUGCUUAUCUCUUGUGGAAGGAAGAAAACAUCUUCACUCAUCAGUGAGGCUGGAGUGACCACUUGUAUACAGAGAUGGACUUCUCAGUGGAGGGCAGGGCUUUGCUGCUGCUGUUUGUCACGAUGUGCAGAGCCCUCCCAUCAGAGAUGGGAUCUUUUUGUGUGAGGCAUGCACAGGUAGGAAGAGAUUGUUCUAAAUCACAAAAAAAAUGUUAAAAUACAUAAGGGGAAAAAAUAUAUAUAUAUAUAUAUAAGUUGGGAAAAGCUGCACAGAAUUAUUGACUGUUUCAUGGCCUUUUGGUGGACUAGUGGCACAUAAGCCCAGCCCACACAAAGUCUGUUCAGCAUGCACAAAAUGAGUUUCUCAAGGGAGUAAGUGUCCAGUGCUCCUUCUGCUCAAAAUACCCGUUUUGGGCACUCAUUGCAAUAGUCUCACAUGCACUGGGUGGAUGCAGCCAGGCCAGGUGACUGAGCCCAUCAUUGCUGGAGUGGUUUUUUGUACUGUUAAUUUUCAGUCAGUUCAGUGAACUAAAUUUGGCUCAUGUAGGCAUCUCCAGUGCUGGAAACAUCGGGAGACUAUAGAGUAACAGUGGAAUUGAGACCGGCCCUUUGGGCAGCUGUUACAUUAAUCCAGUCACUCUGGUUUACUCCAUCCUGGUGCCCCUUCUUCCCUUUGCUGGUGGGACCCUGGCAUCCCUGAAUUUCUGCAAUUUCCAGGAGUCUCCCUGGUGACAGAGGUGGAGACCAUGCUUUCCAGCACAAUCCAUGCAGCGCUGUUUGCUGCUGAUGAGAUAUUCAGGAGAAAGCAGAUGAGAAGUGAGUAGCUCACAGCUGGAGAGAAGCUCCUGAAGUCAAGAGGAAAACAAGGAGUGUCUCCUGUGUUGGAGGGCUAUUCACAGGAGUUGACCCUGCAGUGGGAAUUGAUGAAAACUUAACUUACAGUCCUUCACCAUUUUACUUUCCACAGAUUUUUUUUAAUUCAGUUUGUGCUCUCUCCAUCCUGGGGUGGAGAUUGCAGCACCUCCUCAGCACAGUACCUUAAGCAGCU
rnacentral:lncRNA from 1 species